GGAAAUGGAGACAUAUAGGUGAUUUUAUGGGGGCAGAAAACAAUUUUUAGGGGAACUCACUGGGUGUGAAGAACAUACAAUGUCCUGGGACAGUCUGUUGGGGUCUGCAGAGUGGACAAUGGUCUGUGACAGAGUCUGUCCAGGAGUGUUGACAGAUUUCAGUCUUCCUUCCUGUGAUAGAUGAGUUAAUGGAAACUCAGGGAAGAAACAAAGAGUUUUUGUUCCAUGGGAGAUACCCAUGCCACUUGAAAAAACAAACUAUCCUGACAUCUACUGACUUUGUGAAUGAUUUUAACAGCAAUAACAAUGGAGAUGGAAGAAGUUUUGAAGCAGUACUAGUUCCACAGCUUUCGUGUAAGAUGCCAUGGUUUUGGCAUCCUCAGAUUGGCAAUGAUAUUGAAUAACUUCUAAGGUCUUUCUGAAAUUGUGUGAUUCUUUUCUAAAAUAGGAGUAUCUUCAAAAGAUGGAUGGACAUUGAGUGCUACUGCAUGACAACAUUCUUGUAUAAUAAGAUAUAAUAAGAUCCUUUCCCUAGAAAAUGGGGCAAAUUCAGAUGGAAUGAGAGAAAGAUUUCAAGGUUUCAGUGGAAUAUGCUUAUAUUGGGAACUGUAUUAGUUAAGACUAGCUUUGGUUGCAUGUGACAGAAAACCCAACGUCGUCACUUAUACAGGAUUAAAAUGUGUCCUCAUGAAAGUCUAGAGAUGGUAUGUAGCUCUGAGUGUCAGGGAUCAAGACUCCUUCUAACUGGGAACCCAGCUUUCCAUUCCAAAGAUUGCUUCAUAUUCAAAAUGGCUGCUGGGGCUCCAGGCAUAGGGUCCACCUUCCAUCUAGAAGAACAAGAAACCCAAAAGGAGCAUGUUCUCCCCUUUAAUGAUGCUUUCAUAAGUUAAAUAGGAUGUUUCAUACGCAUCUCACUGGCCAGACUGGUUAGAACUUAGUAAUUGGCCACAAUCAGCUGGAAAGAAGGCUGGGAAAUAGAAUAUUUAAGGUGGUUGUUGUAAUCAGCUAAAAAAUCAUGAGUUACAUAAUAUAUAGAAGAGGAGAACAAGGACAGAAUGACAACUAGCAGUAUCUGCAUAUCAUUCUUCCAAGCAAGUACAUAGGAAUUUUUAAAUAAAUCUUUACUCCAAGAUUCACUUAGCUUUGGUAGAAUGAAGAAUCAGCAUCUACUUACCUGGUCAAUACAAAGGAGUUGGCAUUCUUUUGACGAAAUGUUGAGUCAAGCUGCAUAGGUACAAUCAAUAGACACACCUGCAUCUUCAAACACCUGCUGAUCACAGAAAUGUGCAGAGAAAGGCACAGAUUAACCUGAUUAGUUAACCAAAAUGGUUGGACCUCUGUUUUUGUAGAGGCAUAAAUUAUAUUUUUUGAGAAAUCAGAUCUUUAACAACCCGGUAAUAAAAUCUGAAUUCAUCUUCCUAAUAGAAAAUUAAAACAUGGAUUUAUUGGCCAGGUUCAGUGGCCCAUACCUGAAAUCCCAGCACUUUGGGAGGCUGAGGUAGGCAGAUCGUGAGAUCAGGAGAUCAAGACUAUCCUGGCCAACAAGGUGAAACCCUGUCUCUACUAAAAUUACACAAAAUUAGCUGGGCAUCGUGGUGCAUGCCUGUAAUUCCAGCUACUCGGGAGCCUGAGGAAGGAGAAUAGCUUGAACCAGGGAGUGGGAGGUUGCAGUGAGUUGAGAUUGUGCCACUGCACUCCAGCCUGGUGACAGAGUAAGACUCCAUCUCAAAAUAAUAAUAAUAACAUGGAUUUAUCUAGUGAUAAUAAUAUCUCAACUAUUCAUAAAGAAUGAGGUGAUCCACAGGAAAAUCCUAUGAAUAUGCAUAGCACUAACCAAAAAUAAGGCAUUUGUAUUGUUUUCGGUGAUAAUGUUAGAGCAGUAUGAAAUAUCCAGAACAGGUAAGCCCAAACAAACAUGGAGGGGAGAGGAGAGUAGCCAUGACUGGCUAAUGGAGAGUGGAGUUCCUUUGGGAGUGAUGGGUAUGUUUUGGAACUAGAUACAGGUGAUAAUUGUGCAGCAGCGUGAAUGUAUUGAAUGCCACUGAAUUGUACACUUUAACAUCAUUAAUUCUGUGUUAUGUGAAUUUUAUUACAAUUAAAAAUAUGAGUUAGGGCAGCAUGUA